AUUCAAAUAGUUUAAGUUAAAAUAUUGGUUUGUGGUGCCGAUGAUAUAGUUUUAUAUUUUGGAUU
rnacentral:tRNA from 2 species